rnacentral:rRNA from 1 species
GACGAACGCUGGCGGCGUGCUUAACACAUGCAAGUCGAACGAAGAGCGAUGGAAGCUUGCUUCUAUCAAUCUUAGUGGCGAACGGGUGAGUAACGCGUAAUCAACCUGCCCUUCAGAGGGGGACAACAGUUGGAAACGACUGCUAAUACCGCAUACGAUCUAAUCUCGGCAUCGAGGAUAGAUGAAAGGUGGCCUCUACAUGUAAGCUAUCGCUGAAGGAGGGGAUUGCGUCUGAUUAGCUAGUUGGAGGGGUAACGGCCCACCAAGGCGAUGAUCAGUAGCCGGUCUGAGAGGAUGAACGGCCACAUUGGGACUGAGACACGGCCCAGACUCCUACGGGAGGCAGCAGUGGGGAAUCUUCCGCAAUGGACGAAAGUCUGACGGAGCAACGCCGCGUGAGUGAUGACGGCCGUCGGGUUGUAAAGCUCUGUUAAUCGGGACGAAAGGCCUUCUUGCGAAUAGUGAGAAGGAUUGACGGUACCGGAAUAGAAAGCCACGGCUAACUACGUG